ACACAGGGCUUGGAUCUGAGGCUGUUGGAGUAAUAGAGCUGCUGCAUGUCUGAGGAAUGAAUCUUGGUUCAAACAGUGUCUGUAGCAGAACUGAGACCAGAGUUCUUGAUCUUCACUCUUCAGACUCUUGCUCCGUAUGCUCAACUGUUUUGUACACUACUUUGUUUGGGUCACCACUACUUGAGAAUAUAAUAUGGGAGAUUUUUCUGCUUCAAGAGUGCAUUUUUCUGCAUACGAUUUUUCUGCACAUGGCUACACCACUUAUUUCAUACUGUGAUGCUCCUGAUGGAGGAAGAUGGAGAUGGCACUGGAUUCUGUGACAGAAGGAAAGAAUGCAGGAAAUAACUCCCCAGUUCACUUGAUUUUUUACCUGAUGAUUUACAAGUGCCUCAAAGGAGUGAAUGCCGUUAUUGAAGAACACUGAAGUAGCACAAAAGUAAGCUUCUGGUCUAAAAAAUGAAACUAAAGCUGCUUGUGGUCUUGACAAACUCAAAUUUUAAACUAAAGAGAAUAAAAAUACCAAAUAUAUGUGAUUAUUGGUAACUUGAAAUAAGAACAGAAGAGGAGGGAAGGCAACUAAACUCCCAGAUCCAAAUUUUCUGUUUGAAAUUGAUGCAGUAGGAUCAUAAUGCAAAACGAUUAUCUGCCUUAGCUUAGGAAGCAGGAAGGAAUACAAAGAUUUCUAGUGUGUGGAGAGAAAAUGCUCUGGACUAAAAACUUGUUUCAUCAAGAGGUACCCCUACAAAAUGAAAGCACAUUUCAUCACUGUCAAUGCAACUGAUGUACUGUUUGUGUACUUUACACCUAAAACUGUCAAGUGUGAUGUUAGAGUUAUAAAAUAACACUUUUAAUUGGUGUUUAUUGUAAUAUAAUACUUUUAAAUCUAUAUAAAUUAUUUGUAUAAAAAGCUAGAAAAUGUAUUAAAAUUAAUAUAUAAAUGUUACUAGUUUGAGAUGGAGAAAAAUAGAAGCUAUUCAGCUGAAGUCAGUUAGCAUGUGAAAAAGGCGAGUGUAGCACUUCAUGAUAUCAAUCAUAUCUUUUUGGGAACUUACAGACUCCCUGUCUAUGUGCCCUAGGACAUAGUGUGGUCAGCAAUGGGGAAAGAUACGUGCACUCUGAAGUUUGCACAAUGCAGUUUGCAGCCUGACAAUCCUGCUAUUUGUCUCUUAAUAAAUCUAAGACACGAUAAUACUAUUCAGUGCUAUAGCUACACAUCAGUAAAUUGUAAUUGUUUUGGUUUUUAUGAUUUGUCUGUCAGAAAAUAUUGCAGGGAAGUCUGAAUGAUCUCUAAGUGAACUUCCAUUACAUAAAGAGUUUAUGAGCACGCAAAGUAGUGGAGCAGUGGAGCAGCAAUAUCUUACUGUUUCUACUGCCAGAGGAGCUGUUAGUUGUGAAACUCAGUGUGUUUUGGAAACUAUGGAACAUGCACAGCUAUGGCAGUGGCUCCUACCCACACAGCUUCCUCACAGGCAGCAGGCACUUGAUGCUUAUUUUCUGCUGCUAGAACAUGGUAGGUCACCUGCCUUCCUGUAAUAACCACUCCUUCAGCAAAAAUGCAAUGUAUUCUCACACUGAAAUAUAAAAUAAGCUGUACUACUGUUUUCCAUAACAUAAAAGACAUUUCCUGGUGCACUAUAUUUGGAGUGGUAAGAUCUUGCUAACACUGUACAUGGUAGAACUUGCACUUCAGUGUGUGAGAUAUGACUGUUGAAAUAUAUCCUCUGGGAAAACUUAAUAUUACCAUCCCAUCAGUUAAAUGACAAAAGUCUUAAUCUUCAAAAGAAAAGGGCAUAUAAUUUAUGAUUUUCUAAUUGUAAUUUUUAUAACUUAUCUCCCAGCAAUAAGCAGAGCAGCUUUGUUCAAAGGGUGAGUGUUAAUAUUUUAAGAAAUGUCUUCCCAGGUCUGUUUCCUAAAAGGAAAUAAGCAUUUCUCUGAUAUCCUUGAGGCAGGCAGCUGACCUCCAGAGAGGUGAUGUUUCAUGAGUACCUGAAUGCUUAGUAUUUCCUAGGAGCUAAUUAUAUGUCAUUGCCUGCUCUAGCACACAUUUUUAAUAAGAUUUCAUGAACUACAGUAUAUUCAUAGCCCUAGUUUUGAGCUUUUUAGUCUUGAGCUUCUCAUCCAUGCCUUACUAGAAACUUCCUAAAUCCCUCAUUGGAACUGUUCCAUAAGCCUGAGAUAAGUCUGUCUCUUCCCAUCAUCUGUAUGAUGCAUAUUUUCUCUGUCUUUCUCUCUUGCCCUCACAAAUUAAAUUUUAAUUAUGUGUCUUUGUUGGGCAUCGAAUCAAACAGCUAGCUACUAAGCAACAGACAAUAGCAAUAAUCCCCCUGCAUGGCAGUCCCUCCUCCCUUGCUAACAACUGGACCAUUUAUUAUUCUGCUCACCUAAACAAUUGUACCGUAAUAGCUGAAGUGAAGUAUUGCGACAUAACUCAAGGUGCUUGCUUUUUCUAGUGUCUUUAAGACAUUCAGCUCAAGGUAAUGUAAAACAAUUCCAGCUGGACAACAGAAAUGUGAAAAAUAAAGGAGAACUUGCUGUUUGUUUUG
rnacentral:lncRNA from 7 species